GCAGAAGAGGCGGCUGCAAGAGGAGCUGGAGGCUGCGGCACAGGUGGAAAAGGGGCUGCGGGAGCAGAGCGAGGCGCUGAGCCGGGAGCUGCAGGCGGUGCAGAGCCGACGCGAUGCCCUUCAGGCUCAGCUCCAGGAGCGCUCCCAGGAGCAGGAGGAGCUGCGGCAGCGCUUGGAGGCGGCUGAGAGCACGCAGGGGGACACGGAGCAGCGCCUGCGGCAGGCACAGGUCACAGCUCCCAGCCCACAUUCUUCCUCCGUGCCCCCAUUUCUUCAUCCCCCCGCUCCAAAUCCUCAUUUCCAACCCCUGCGCUUCCAAGUUUUCCUUCUGUGCCCUUCA